GUGUCAGCAGCCGCGGUAAUACAGGGGUCUCGAGCGUUAAUCGGAAUCACUGGGCUUAAAGGGUGCGUAGGCGGAUCCGUAAGCGCUUUGUGAAAUCCCCCGGCUCAACCGGGGAACUGCAGGGCGAACUGUGGAUCUUGAGGAAACUAGAGGCCGGUAGAACGAUUGGUGGAGCGGUGGAAUGCGUAGAUAUCAAUCGGAAUGCCAAAAGUGAAGACAGCCGGCUGGGGUUUUCCUGACGCUGAGGCACGAAAGCGUGGGGAGCAAACCGGAUUAGAUACCCUGGUAGUCC
rnacentral:rRNA from 1 species